rnacentral:misc_RNA from 1 species
AAGUCGUAACAAGGUUUCCGUAGGUGAACCUGCGGAAGGAUCAUUACAAAAGCACUGCUUUUGCGUCUGUGAACGCUGAUGGGGUGCAUUCAUGCUUCCAUCGGCAUUUUACAUCAAUGAUUUAUUAAUUAAAAACAUAAAAGAUAAAACUUUUGGCAAUGGAUCCCUUAGCUCCU